CCACCUUGCUCGAUCCCCUUUCCCUUUCUACACUGCGCCCAAACCCACUGAAAACAACACAGAAAUGGAGGGCGAGAGGAGGCCGCCGGCGGCCGCCGCCGUGUCCAAGGUGCUGGACGACGACGACCUCCUCGCAGAGAUCCUCCUCCGCGUAGCCCUCCCCACCACCCUCCUCCGCGCCGCGCUCGUCUGCAAGCGCUGGCUGGGGCACGCGUCGGGCCGCGCCUUCCUCCGCCGCUUCCGCAAGCUCCACCCGCCCCGCCUCCUCGGCUUCUACGUCGAGGGCGACAGGGACGUCCCGGCCGACCCACCGGCCUUCGUCCCGGUGCUGCCCCAGCCCGCAGAGCUCGCCGCCGUCCUCCGCCGCGCGAGCUUCAGCUUCGACAUCUACAACGGCCAAUUGGUCCAGAUCCACGACUGCCGGAACGGCAGCGUCUUCGUCCAGGUCGGGAGCGAGGGCAGGGCGGUCAUGAGGGUGCACACCCCGCUGUGCCCUCGGAGACCCGUCGCCUUCAUCCCGCCGCUCCCGCGCCCCGCACUCCGGCCCCGUGGUCUCUGCAGCUUCACGCAGAUCCUCUCGACGGAGGAAAGGUGCGGCCUUUCCUACCACUACCUGUACGUGGAGUCUACCGUGGACGAACCAGAAACCAGGCUGCACGUAUACGUGCUGCAAGAUGGUCUCUGGCUCCCGCGUCCUCCCUUGGACAUGCACCAGCUCCCUCGUCCACUACUCCAGCCAAGGCCCGUGCUCGUCGACGGGAGAAUUUACAUGCCGGCGGGCGUGAGCGACAUCGUCGUCCUGGAUCUGACGGCCUCGAGCUUCUCCACGAUCCAACUCCCACGGGGCGCCAAGCACGACGGGUGCGGCGCCACCAUGCUGGCACGGGCUCACGAUGCUUCCGGCGUGUAUUUCAUCCUCGUCGAGGAGUUUCGGCUCCUCAUCUGGCUCCACAAGGGGGGCAACUGGUCGCUGGUGGACACCAUUUGUUUGCGUGAGAUGUGCCCUGAUUUGAGGGUGCUAGGCUGCACGGUUGAGGAUGAGGAAAGUGGUCUUGUCAUAAGACGGGUGGGGAACGAUGCUGAGUUUGUGCUCUUGCAGAUGGGCCGGUGUGCGCUCCACCUGGAUACCAGGCGCAGGACACUGCGUAAGGUGUAUGAGCAGACGGAAGAGCAUCAGUGUUUUGGUGAUAUCCAUCCCUUUAUGAUGAUCUGGCAUCCCACAUUCCCCGCACUCCGGGGUGAUCAUGCAAGGUUUCCUGUUUGGCCUUUGGAUCAUCUGUGUAGUGCUCUCUGUUGAGGUUACACAGUUUUGCAAUGUGCAUCAUUCAUCGCAUUGUUUGGCAAUAGAUGUGGAAUUGUGCUAGAGAUGCAAUGUGAAGAAGAAAGAUACCAGGAAGCUCAUGGAUGCUAUCUAUGUCGUGAGUGAUCAGGGCAGCAUCACGGAAGAGCAGUAGUGGGCUGCAUUUUGUCUAGUACGUGAUAGACUGAUAGCAUUUCUAACCAUCUUUAUUAUAACCUUUACUGGAUCAACUAAUUACUUAAUUAGGAAUCAGGAUGCUAUUGCUAUGUAACUGGAGCACGUACUCCUAUGUGAAUUGGAUCUUUGUUAUUGUUGGUAUAAUACUUCAUGUAUUCUGAGUAGUUAUCUCGUCUGA